UGCGUAGGUGGUUUAAUAAGUUAACUGUGAAAUCCCUGGGCUCAACCUGGGAAGGUCAGCUAAGACUGUUAAACUCGAGUACAGGAGAGGGUAGUGGAAUUUCCGGUGUAGCGGUGAAAUGCGUAGAGAUCGGAAGGAACACCAGUGGCGAAGGCGGCUACCUGGCCUGAUACUGACACUGAGGCACGAAAGCGUGGGGAGAAAC
rnacentral:rRNA from 1 species